GGUCAAGACAGGAGAACUCUUCAGUUUGCUGGCCUGCUAACUAAGCUCCAGGUUCAGUAGGAGACCCUGUUUCAGAAAUAAAAAAAAAUAAAAAAUAAAAAAAGAAAGAAAAAAAAAAAAGUGCCAGGUGUAGUGGCACAUGCUUUUAAAUCAGCACUCUGGAGGCAGAGGCAGGUAGAUCUCUGUGAAUGCAAGACCAACUGGUCUACAUAGUGAGUUCCAGGACAGUAAGGGCUACAUACUGAGAACCUGUCUGGAAAAACAAAAACAAACAAAUAAACACUGGCUAAGAGUAACUAAGGAAGACUCAGCAUUGACUUCUAGCUUGUAGAAGUGCACACACUGGGCUGGAGAGAUGGCUCAGUGGUUAAGAGCACUGACUGCACUUCCAGAGGUCCUGAGUUCAAAUCCCAGCAACCACAUGGUGGCUCACAACCAUCUGUAAUGAGAUCUGAUGACCUCUUCUGGUGCGUCUGAAGACAGCUACAGUGUACUUAGAUAUAAUAAUAAAAAUCUUAAAAAAAAAAAAAAAAAAAAAAAAAGAAGUGUGCACACACACACACACACACACACACAAGACAAAGAAAAAGAAGAAGAAGAAGAAGAAAAAAAAAUACCCAGGCUAGCUCUUUCAGCCAAAGCCGUAGGCAAGUUACUAGAAGACUGUACUGGAGAGGCUGAUCUGAUGACAGGAUAGCGAGUAUUCCCGUGUAUCAACACCAGCAUCCUAUUCCAGGUCUGCAAACCUCUGGCCAGAGGUCGCUCAUGAUAUCCUGUUUCUUCAGGAAUACUGGGUUCAGGGGUGGCCAGCAGUGGGUCCACCUGUGUUCAGAGUCCAGCAUCCUUAUCCCCAUGUUCACUGUCCACACCUGAGGGAUAAGUAGACUGGCUGGGGGUCGGGUAGCAGCAAAGCUUAUUCUGGUGCCCCUUUUGAGUCCCAAGACUUGGCCUGUGCAGCAGGCCAUACUGUCCCCACCUUUUCUGGUGUCCAGGGGAUCUCUGGUCUGACACUGCAGCCCCCACAGAUGUUCAGAUGAAGUAACCCGCCAGCUCAGGGCCACAGCUGCCCAUAAGGUGGGACGAGAUGGAAUUGUAGCCACGAGACUAUGUACCCAUCAGGAUGAUGUGGCCCUGACCAACGAGAAGUGGCUGAAGGCACUGCCAGGUAAAUAGAAGGCUUGGGCCAGGAGGAGCCAUCGAACAGGUGUGACAUCCCCUCCACCCCCAUCCCUGGCAAACUGGGCCCAAGCUCUAUGUACAUUUACAGAUGAAACUAUAACCCAAAAGUUGUGGUGAGCUGACUCCCAGGCCCUGGCUAGGCCUGAGCUGUCCCCAGUCCUUCCCCCACAACUAUCUUGAUCUAAUACAUUUGUGGAAGCUGAGCCACAAGUCAAUAUAUAACUUGUUUUCCCAACUCUUGCUUUUCCAGGUGAUGUACACAGCUUUGAGGCUAUAGACAGUGACCCUGAGCUAAGCCGGACCCUGGAUGCUCAGUGCCCUGUUAGCCGUGUCCUUCAGUUAAAGCUGGGGGCUCAGGUGAGUGGGAAACAGGGGAAGGGAUCCCCAAUUUUUUGUUUGUUUGUUUUUUUUUUUUUUUUUUUUUUUUUUGGUUUUUUGAGACAGGGUUUCUCUGUGUAGCCCUGGCUGUCCUGGAACUCACUUUGUAGACCAGGCUGGCCUCGAACUCAGAAAUUCGCCUGCCUCUGCCUCCCGAGUGCUGGGAUUAAAGGCAUGCGCCACUACCGCCCGGCUGGGAUCCCCAAUUAUUAACACUCUACCAAGGCCCCUUGAUAGUUGAGAGCUACUGUGACCACUCCCCGCCCCCUUUCCUGUCUUCAGCUUUUCUCACCUUUCUUCAUCGAGAGCCCUGACAAGCAACACCACUUUAGACAAGUCUCUUCCUUACUGAAGCCCAGUUCCUAGGUGAAAUGUCUCCCCAUGGUAGCAUCCCCCAUGAUAUGAGGUAUACUACCUACCCCUUAUAGUAGUAUACCUUAUAGUAGUAUACCUUAUACCUUAUAGUAGUAUACCCUUAUAGUAGUAUACCACAGAGGGCAUCCUCCUCUGUGGGAAUGACCAAGAAUGGUAGAUUUUCCUCAGAGUCCAUUAGGCACAUGUGGGAAAUGCAAGCAUUGUGGUUGAAAGAGGCAUGGCAGACGCUAGUGUCAUUCCUCAAAAUUUGUGGUCUUCUAGGCAGGCACAAUCCCUUAAUUCCCCACCCCCCUUUGACCUUGAACUCUGGAGAUCCCGCUUGCCUCUGCUUCCUGGAAUAGAAAACCGUGCUCCACCAAACCCAGCAAGGUCCAACUCUUUUCAAAGUCCUGUGAUGCAGGUUACCCUCCUGGCCUUACCACCUUCUUUCUAGGCAACUUGAUGACUACUAAGCCCCUUUGACACAAGAUAAGGUCAAGAUAUUUCCAGGAAAAUAAGGUAGCUUGUCACAGAGGUCGCAGUCACCACAGUGGUGCUUGUGCUAAGAAGCCCCCAUCCUCUCUCUGAACCCUGAUUGCUAGAGGAGUCAGGCCCAGGGAGGGUCCCUCUCCAUCCCUGCACUUCCUCCUCCACAGGUCAUGCUGGUGAAGAACUUGGCAGUGUCUCGGGGCCUGGUGAACGGUGCCCGAGGGGUGGUAGUUGGGUUUGAGUCCGAAGGGAGAGGUGAGUGAUUGCGGAGGGAGGGGGUCCUGUUGCUUGGGUUUAUUUCACAGCCAGCAGGACAAACCAUAGGCAUGCUAAAAGGUGGGACUUCUCAAUGCCUUCCUCAGGGCUCCCCCGGGUACGGUUCCUGUGUGGUAUCACUGAGGUCAUCCGCACUGACCGCUGGACAGUACAGGUCACUGGGGGACAGUACCUCAGCCGGCAGCAGCUUCCCCUACAGCUGGCCUGGGCCAUAUCCAUCCACAAAAGCCAGGUGACUAUCCGAUGCAGGGGUGGGCAGGCUAUGCUGAGCCCAGGCUGGCCUCAAAUUCAUUAUGCAGCUGUAGAGGACGUUGGCCUUGAUCUUCCUACCUCUAUCUCCUGGAAGCUGUUAUUUCAAGUUUGCAACACAAAGCCUGGCUUAGGUGGGUGGGCUUGCACGCAUGCUCCCAGCCAGGCCACGCCCCCAGCCCUAGACUCUUCUCCAGUGUACUUCCUCCUCCACAUUCCUCUCUCCCUUUCUAGACCCUCCUCUGCCAUUUCCCGACCAGGACCAGAACAGGUUAACAACCAAACAAUCGUAGAUACAGCUGGCAAUAGUUAGUGAUUCACAGGCAGAAACAAAGGCGCUGAGAAAGCGAAAGCUUCCGAGGCAUCACAACUAGGGGAGAGGCAGAGUUUUAGCUCUGUACCUGUUUGACCAUUGAGCUCUGUCCCUCAAGCUCUCAGAUGUUUAAGACGCUGGAUGGGGGCUGGAGAAAUGGCUCAGUGGUUAAGAGCACUGACUGCUCUUUCAGAGGUCCUGAGUUCAAUUCCCAGCAACCACAUGGUAGUUCAUAACCACCUAUACUCAGCUCUAGUGCCCUCUACAGGCCUGGUAAGCAUCCAUGCAGGCAGAACACUGUAUAUAUAACACUGUAUGAAUAACUAAAUC
rnacentral:lncRNA from 1 species